rnacentral:rRNA from 1 species
GCAACCUACCUAUCAGAGGGGAAUAACCGGCGAAAGUCGGACUAAUACCGCAUAAAACAAGGGGCGACCGCAUGGUGAUAUUGUUAAGAAAUUCGCUGAUAGAUGGGCAUGCGUUCCAUUAGGGUAGUUGGUGAGGUAACGGCUCACCAAGCCGACGAUGGAUAGGGGAACUGAGAGGUUGGUCCCCCACACUGGUACUGAGACACGGACCAGACUCCUACGGGAGGCAGCAGUGAGGGAAUAUUGGUCAAUGGGCGGGAGCCUGAACCAGCCAAGUCGCCGUGAAGGAAGAAGGAUCUAUGGUUCGUAAACUUCUUUUGCAGGGGAAUAAAGUGCAGGACGUGUCCUGUUUUGUAUGUACCCUGAGAAUAAGGAUCGGCUAACUCCGUGCCAGCCGCGGC